CGGGAAUUUUGGGCAAUGGGCGAAAGCCUGACCCAGCAACGCCGCGUGAGGGAUGAAGUAUUUCGGUAUGUAAACCUCGAAAGAAUGGGAAGAAUAAAUGACGGUACCAUUUAUAAGCUCCGGCUAACUACGUGCCAGCAGCCGCGGUAAUACGUAGGGAGCAAGCGUUGUUCGGAUUUACUGGGCGUAAAGGGCGCGUAGGCGGCGCGGUAAGUCACUUGUGAAAUCCCUGAGCUUAACUCAGAACGGCCAAGUGAUACUGCUGUGCUAGAGUGCGGAAGAGGCAACCGGAAUUCUUGGUGUAGCGGUGAAAUGCGUAGAUAUCAAGAGGAACACCUGAGGCGAAGGCGGGUUGCUGGGCCGACACUGACGCUGAUGCGCGAAAGCCAGGGGAGCAAACG
rnacentral:rRNA from 1 species